UACGGAGGGUGCAAGCGUUAUCCGGAAUCACUGGGUUUAAAGGGUGCGUAGGCGGAAUAAUAAGUCAGGCGUGAAAGGUCACGGCUCAACUGUGGAAUUGCGUUUGAUACUGUUAUUCUUGAAUUGAGAUGAGGUCAGCGGAAUGCGACAUGUAGCGGUGAAAUGCAUAGAUAUGUCGUAGAACACCGAUUGCGAAGGCAGCUGACUGGACUUUGAUUGACGCUGAGGCACGAAAGCGUGGGGAGCGAACAGG
rnacentral:misc_RNA from 1 species